rnacentral:SRP_RNA from 1 species
CUCGCCGAGCUCAGUUGCGUGAGCUUGUAACCCGAGUGGGCCUAUGCGAAAGCUGGGCCUCACGGUCCAUAAUUUGGCAGGCACAGCGUGAGGCUGACUUCACAGAGCAGCGACAACUGCCCGCUUCCAACGGUGGAAGGAUAACGGG